rnacentral:rRNA from 1 species
CACUUGUUUGCCUCGGCGGAUCAGCCCGCUCCCGGUAAAACGGGACGGCCCGCCAGAGGACCCCUAAACUCUGUUUCUAUAUGUAACUUCUGAGUAAAACCAUAAAUAAAUCAAAACUUUCAACAACGGAUCUCUUGGUUCUGGCAUCGAUGAAGAACGCAGCAAAAUGCGAUAAGUAAUGUGAAUUGCAGAAUUCAGUGAAUCAUCGAAUCUUUGAACGCACAUUGCGCCCGCCAGUAUUCUGGCGGGCAUGCCUGUUCGAGCGUCAUUUCAACCCUCAAGCACAGCUUGGUGUUGGGACUCGCGUUAAUUCGCGUUCCUCAAAUUGAUUGGCGGUCACGUCGAGCUUCCAUAGCGUAGUAGUAAAACCCUCGUUACUGGUAAUCGUCGCGGCCACGCCGUUAAACCCCAACUUCUGAAUGUUGACCUCGGAUCAGGUAGGAAUACCCGCUGAACUUAAGCAUAUCAAUAAGCGGAGA